ACCGCGGGAAACAAGUGAACCCAUUGGUCCGUGUCCUGUGCGUCUCUCCACCUGGAGCCGGAAGGGGAUCGCCGCUGGUGAAACUGGGCAGGGUCAGUGGGACAGGUGCUAGAGUCCGCUCGAAAAGCGCCCCUUGCCAAAGCUCCUUACAAGGCAAAUAAGAUGUCAUCUAUGUUAGACAGAUGAGGAAUAAUGGCGGCCUCCGAAGAAUGAAGUAGUUUUUCUAAAUUAAUGUGGAUGUGUUAAAUGACAAACCUGUCCUAAGUUACCAGGGAUUGAACUCAGGAUUUCAGGACCUUGCCCCUAUGAAACAGGCACAAUGCCACUGAGCUAAAUUCCAGGCCCAAAAUUAUAUAAUAUUUAAGC